GAUGAACGCUGGCGGCGUGCUUAACACAUGCAAGUCGAACGGAAAGGCUCCUGCUUGCAGGGGUACUCGAGUGGCGAACGGGUGAGUAACACGUGGGUGAUCUGCCCUGCACUUCGGGAUAAGCCUGGGAAACUGGGUCUAAUACCGGAUAGGACCACAUUUUGGAUGGUGUGGUGGAAAGUUUUUCGGUGUGGGAUGAGCUCGCGGCCUAUCAGCUUGUUGGUGGGGUAAUGGCCUACCAAGGCGUCGACGGGUAGCCGGCCUGAGAGGGUGUACGGCCACAUUGGGAAUGAGAGACGGCCCAGACUCCUACGGGAGGCAGCAGUGGGGAAUAUUGCACAAUGGGCGCAAGCCUGAUGCAGCGACGCCGCGUGGGGGAUGACGGCCUUCGGGUUGUAAACUCCUUUCGCUAGGGACGAAGCGUUUUUGUGACGGUACCUGGAGAAGAAGCACCGGCUAACUACGUG
rnacentral:rRNA from 1 species